GGACAUGUGCACAGUUGCCCUAGUCAAAUUUGGUUAGAUGAGUUGCCACAACGAACACUGCCUUCUCUGCUCAAGGCCACUCUAGCUCCUCUCUAUGGACUCCUGCCCAGCCCCUCUGUAGCACCCUGGAGACCAUCCAGGGCUGCUGGGUCCCAGGCGAGGCUGCAGGUUUCCUUCUCUCUUGGGCGUCAUGCCCAGUGGCUGUGCCCUUCCCUCCCUCAGGCCUCCUGCCCUGCCUCUCCCAACACUGAGCUGCCUCCUGUACAGCAUCUUUGCCUCUGCCUGGGCCCUCUGACACUCUGCCUCCCUGACAGGAGUCUCCCUGUCCCUCUAUCAGAAACUUGGGGGCUAAGCCACAACCACAGCCCAGCACCACCAGCCACCCUGCUAGAGGUCACUGGCCCUCUGGCCCUCAGCCUCCCUCAUCCUUCAAUGGCUCCUCCCCAGUCUUGGUGGUGAGCCCUGGCCACAUUGAAUGCCUGGUGCUGUUGGCAGGGCUGAACCAAGCCUGCCUGGUAAAGGUGGGCUUGAGGGAAGUUUGGAACAGCAGGGAGUAUGGACAGCUGGGACCACAGGCCCUCAGGAGGGGCUGCAGGGACAGCCCCAGAGGGCCUGGGCAUGCCACACUCCUCCCUCACCCCUGCCCCCACUGCCUACAGUCUCUACAGCUGCUAUGGGGGCGGGGAGUGCCCUGGCUCAGGGUGGAGGCAGUGGGUGCAGAGGGAGGGUGGUGGCGGCCUCCUUUGGCCAGUCACAAUCCUGCUUUGGGGAGGGGAUCACUGUAGCUGGGGGCGGAGCAGGGCCACAUGUGAGUUGCAGGAAGCCGGAAGUGCAGCCUGGAGCCAGCCUGGUCCUCUGCAGUAUCUGUGCAUUGGGGACUCCUGAGCUGCCUGGGUUCCAGGUGUCCUUCCCAGGCUCUGUUCCAGGCAGGACCCAGGCUGCACCAUGGAACAGGAUGUAGUUUCACAGCAGGAGUUUGACAGCUGUCCUAGAGCAGCCCAAAGUGACCCUGGCCCAGCCAUGUGGACUGCACUCGUGUACCAUGAGGACAUGAUGGGACAUGAGCUGCUCUGGGACGACACUGAGUGCAAGAUAGAGGGUCCCCAACGCCUGUCUGCAGCCCUGGACCGCCUGCAGCAGUGUGGCCUGGAGCAGAGGUGCCUGCAGCUGUCAGCCCGAGAGGCCUCAGUGGCAGAACUGGGGCUGGUGCACAGUCCGGAGUACAUAGCCCUGGUUCACGGGACCCAGGUCCUGGGCAAGGGGGAGCUCCAGGUGCUGUCUGGACAGUAUGAUGCUGUGUACUUCCACCCGAGUACUUUUCACUGUGCCCGGCUGGCUGUGGGGGCUGCGUUGCAGCUGGUGGAUGCCGUGCUCACAGGAGAUGUGCACAAUGGGAUGGCCCUGGUGAGACCCCCUGGACAUCACAGCCAGAGGGCAGCUGCCAAUGGGUUCUGUGUGUUCAACAAUGUAGCUAUAGCAGCUGAACAUGCCAAGCAGAAAUAUGGGCUAUGCAGGAUCCUCAUUGUUGACUGGGACAUCCAUCAUGGCCAGGGCAUCCAGUACAUCUUUGAGGAUGACCCCAGUGUCCUUUACUUCUCCUGGCACCGAUACGAGCACGGCCGCUUCUGGCCCUUCCUGCGAGAGUCAAAUGCAGACGCUGUUGGGCGGGGCCAGGGCCGUGGCUUCACUGUUAACCUGCCCUGGAACCAGGUCGGGAUGGGAAAUGCUGAAUACAUGGCUGCCUUCUUGCAUCUGCUGCUGCCACUGGCCUUUGAGUUUGACCCUGAGCUGGUGUUGGUUUCUGCUGGAUUUGACUCAGCCAUCGGGGACCCUGAGGGCCAGAUGCAGGCCACACCAGAGUGCUUUGCCCACCUCACACAGUUGCUCCAGGUGCUGGCUGGCGGCCGAGUCUGCGUGGUGCUGGAGGGCGGCUACCACCUGGAGUCACUGGCGGAAUCGGUGUGCAUGACAGUGCAGGCACUGCUGGGAGACCCCGCCCCACCCCUGCUGGGGCCUCUGAUGCCAUGUCAGAGUGCCCUGGAAUCCAUUCAGAGUGUUCGGGCAGUCCAGGCCCCUCACUGGCUGAGCCUCCAGCAGCAAGAUGUGGACCCUGCACUGAGUCCCAGCACCCAUUUCCCAGAGGGGAGGCUCCUGCCUGUGCUGCCUGGGGGUCCUGCAUGCAAGGCUGAGGCUUCAGCAGUGCUGAGCUCCCUUCUGGGCCAGCUGUACCUCCACCCCACACCUGCUGUCUGCACUGUGCCAGAUGCCACCUUGGUUCUGCUCCAUGAUGUAAUUUAUCAGGAGGAGUCAGCACCAAGGGAGGAAGCAGAAACCUGGGCCAGGCCACAUGCAUCCCUGGCUCAGGAUGAAGCCCUCACUGCACUUGCGAAACUCCUGUACCUUUUAGAUGGGAUUCUGGAUGGGCAGUUUUGGCCGGGACCGGGCUUGAAGCCACCACCCCUGGUGAGCAGUGGUAUUGCAGCCACCCCAGCCUCCACUGCAGUGGCCAUCCUGGAUGUGGUCAUUCAGAGAGGACUGUCCCAUGGAGCCCAAAGGCUGUUCUGUGUGACCCUGGGACAGCUGGAGCAUCCUCCUGACCUCACCGAUGAUGGGUAUGACUCAGGUCAUGCACUUGGGUGGGCAUGUGGCAGGGCUCCCAGGGGGCUGGUUGGGUGGGGCACUCUAGUGUACAGAAUGCUCAGCUGUGGUUUGGGAGGGGCCCUUAGGGCAAGGCCAGGUGGGUCUUCAGCACAGAGGGUCAGUAGUCUGAGCACCCUCCAGGUCCUCUUGCCUCCCCUCUGCUGCCUGGGUUGGGUGGGGGCAGGGCUUCACACACACUUGUGUCUAUGGUGCUUGCUGUCCCUGGAAGGAGGACUCUUUGGCUGAGCAUCAGGGGCAAGGAGGCAGCUGCUUCCUCUGCAUUCCGUGUCUCCACGCCACUGCCAGGGGAGGAGGGGCAGAGCCAGCGGGGCGAGUGUCCCUGUGUGAGGAGCUGUAGCCCUGCUGUCCCUACAGACUAGUGGUGGGUUCCUGAGCUGCAUCUUGGGCCUGGUGCUGCCGCUAGCCUAUGGCUUCCAGCCUGAC